AUUGAACGCUGGCGGUAUGCCUAACACAUGCAAGUCGAACGGCAGCACAGUAAAUACUUCGGUAUUUAUGGGUGGCGAGUGGCGGACGGGUGAGUAAUAGGUAGGAAUCUGUCCUGGAGAGUGGGAUAACCCGCGGAAACGCGGGCUAAUACCGCAUGAUAUUGAGAGAUCAAAAGCAGGGGACCCUUCGGGGCCUUGCGCUCUGGGGUGAGCCUACGCCGGAUUAGCUAGUUGGUGGGGUAAAGGCCUACCAAGGCGACGAUCCGUAGCUGGUCUGAGAGGAUGACCAGCCACACUGGGACUGAGACACGGCCCAGACUCCUACGGGAGGCUG
rnacentral:rRNA from 1 species